AUGUCCCCUGUUAAACAUGUGGUAUCAGAAAUCAAAUUUCCAGACGGAUGUCUGCAAAAUUCAGACCUUGGCCCUUCAAUAAGCCAAGGUCUGCCAGCCUCCGGUUACAACACGGCUGCGAAUGCCCUGGCCGCUCUUGUGGAUGCUGCAGCUUCUGCACCCCAGAUGGAUGUGUCCAAAACAAAAGAGAGUAAGCAUGAAGCUGCCAGGUUAGAAGAAAAUUUGAGAAGCAGUUCAGCAGCAGUUAGUGAACAGCAGCAGCUAGAGCAGAAAACCCUGGAGGUGAAGAGAUCUGUUCAGUGUUUAUAUGCUUCUUCAGCCUUUCCAAGUGGCAAGCCCCAGCCUCAUUCUUCAGUAGUUUAUUCUGAGGCUGGGAAAGAUAAAGGGCCUCCUCCAAAAUCCAGAUAUGAGGAAGAGCUAAGGACCCGAGGGAAGACUACCAUUACUGCAGCUAAUUUCAUAGACGUGAUCAUCACUCGGCAAAUUGUCUCGGACAAGGAUGCGAGGGAACGUGGGUAUUAAAGUUCAACUCUUCUAGUAGCUUAUCUUCACACAGGUAUGAAAAACCUAACGAUGCUAUUGAGGUGAUAAGUCCUGCCAUCUCGCCUAUACCACCCCAGGAAAAGCUGCAGACCUAUCAACCAGAGGUUGUUAAGGCAAAUCAAGCUGAAAAUGAUCCUACCAGACAAUAUGAAGGGCCAUUACCUCACUAUCGACCACAGCAGGAUUCGUCAUCUCCCCAACAACAGUUGCCCCCUUCUUCACAGGCAGAGGGAUGGGGCAAGUGCCUAGGACCCAUCGGCUGAUCACACUUGCUGAUCACAUCUGUCAAAUUAUCACACAAGAUUUUGCUAGAAAUCAAGUUUCCUCGCAGACUCCCCAGCAGCCUCCUAAUUCUACAUUCCAGAACUCACCAUCCUCGUUGGUGUCUACACCUGUGAGGACUAAAACGUCAAACAGUUACAGCCCAGAAUCCCAGGCUCAGUCUGCCCAUCAUCAAAGACCAGGUUCAAGAGUCUCUCCAGAAAAUCUUGUGGACAAAUCCAGGGGAAGUAGGCCUGGAACAUUCCCAGAGAGGAGUCACGUCUCUUCGGAGCCGUACGAGCCCAUCUCCCCACCCCAGGUUCCAGUUGUACAUGAGAAACAGGACAGCUUGCUGCUCUUGUCUCAGAGGGGCUCAGAGCCUACAGAGCAGAGGAAUGAUUUAUACUCCCGCUCACCAGGGAGUAUAAGCUACUUGCCUUCAUUCUUCACCAAGCUUGAAAACAUAUCACCCGUGGUUAAAUGAAAGAGGCAGGAGAUUUUUCCAGCUGCUCAGCCAGGAACUGAGAUCUUUAAUCUGCCAGCAGUUACUACAUCAGGCUCAGUUAGCUCUAGAGGCCAUUCUUUUGCUGAUCCUGCCAGUAAUCUUGGGCUGGAAGACAUUAUCAGGAAGGCUCUCAUGGGAAGCUUUGAUGCCAAAGUUGAGGAUCAUGGAGUUGUCAUGUCCCAGCCUAUGGUAGUAGUGUCUGUUACUGCCAACACCUCAGUUGUGACCAGUGGUGAGACACGGAGAGAGGAAGGGGACCCAUCACCUCAUUGAGGAGGAGUUUGCAAACCAAAGCUGAUCAGCAAGUCAAAUAGCAGGAAAUCUAAAUCUCCUAUCCCUGGGUAAGGCUACUCAGGAACCGAACGGCCGUCUUCAGUCUCCUCUGUACAUUCAGAAGGAGAUUACCAUAGGCAGAUGCCAGGGUGGGCCUGGGAAGACAGUCCCUCUUCAACAGGCUCAACUCAGUUUCCCUAUAACCCUCUGACUAUGCACAUGCUAAGCAGUACGCCACCAACACUGAUUGCGUGUGCUCCGUCUGCUGUGAACCAAGCAGCUCCUCACCAACAGAACAGGAUCUGGGAGCUGGGGCCUGCCUCGCUCCUCUCAGCACAGUAUGAGACCCUCUCGGAUAGUGAUGACUGAACUGCCCAAAGUGAGAGGAACAGGGUGCAGGAAAGGGAUCUCCAGUUUUUGACGGUUUAAUUUUUAGUAGCAGGUCAAA